rnacentral:tRNA from 1 species
GAGGGUUUAGCUCAGUGGUAGAGUGUGUGCCUAGCAUGCAUGAGGUCCUGGGUUCAAGCCCCAGUAUCUCCA